AGUUGCUCUUAGAGCAAACACUAUUCAUCAGGGAGAUACAUGGUGUGCAUAUGGGGAAGCACUCAGCUGUGUCCUAGGCAUGCCACUGAAUGAACUGGCAGCUUUAAUCCAGAACCUUCCUCACAUAAGAGGAGACAAUUAUGCAACCAUGAAGACUUUCCCUGUUGGAAGUGAAGAUCAGGAGAAAUUUGCAAGAGAUUUUACCAUCUGACUUAUAGCAAUCUCUCCAAUUUGCUGAAGUGUCUCCCUGUUCCCAAUUUGCAGUGUCUGGGGUCCUCGGGAGCACUCGGUGGGAUUUGUUGCAGUGUUUUGCAGCUGCCCUGUUUGGAUGAGGAGAGGUUUCUGCAUGUCCCCGCGUCUGCCCAUCAUACAGGAGGUCCUGACCUUUCCCAGCCCUGAUGCAGAGCUGCCUGAACUCGUGCUGCCCUGAGAAUUUCAUGCCUUUGCAUAUUUCAUUAAGGCUACUGGUGUCACAAAAAAAAGCUGAAAUAAAAUGCAGCAAAAGGAGGAAGCUGA